rnacentral:rRNA from 1 species
CCUACGGGAGGCAGCAGUGGGGAAUAUUGGACAAUGGGCGCAAGCCUGAUCCAGCCAUGCCGCGUGUGUGAAGAAGGCCUUCGGGUUGUAAAGCACUUUUGUUGGGGAAGAAAAGCAUUCGGUUAAUACCCGGAUGUCCUGACGGUACCCAAAGAAUAAGCACCGGCUAACUUCGUGCCAGCAGCCGCGGUAAUACGAAGGGUGCAAGCGUUACUCGGAAUUACUGGGCGUAAAGCGUGCGUAGGUGGUCUGUUAAGUCUGAUGUGAAAGCCCCGGGCUCAACCUGGGAAUGGCAUUGGAUACUGGCAGUCUAGAGUGCGGUAGAGGGGUGUGGAAUUCCCGGUGUAGCAGUGAAAUGCGUAGAUAUCGGGAGGAACAUCCGUGGCGAAGGCGACACCCUGGACCAGCACUGACACUGAGGCACGAAAGCGUGGGGAGCAAACAGGAUUAGAUACCCUGGUAGUCCACGCCCUAAACGAUGCGAACUGGAUGUUGGGGACACUUAGGUGCCUCAGUAUCGAAGCUAACGCGU